AUUGAACGCUGGCGGCAUGCCUUACACAUGCAAGUCGAACGGCAGCACGGGUGCUUGCACCUGGUGGCGAGUGGCGAACGGGUGAGUAAUACAUCGGAACGUACCUUAUCGUGGGGGAUAACGCAGCGAAAGCUGUGCUAAUACCGCAUACGCCCUGAGGGGGAAAGCGGGGGAUCGAAAGACCUCGCGCGAUUCGAGCGGCCGAUGCCUGAUUAGCUUGUUGGUGGGGUAAAAGCCCACCAAGGCGACGAUCAGUAGCUGGUCUGAGAGGACGAUCAGCCACACUGGGACUGAGACACGGCCCAGACUCCUACGGGAGGCAGCAGUGGGGAAUUUUGGACAAUGGGGGCAACCCUGAUCCAGCAAUGCCGCGUGAGUGAAGAAGGCCUUCGGGUUGUAAAGCUCUUUUGUCAGGGAAGAAACACCGGCUCUAACACAGUCCGGGAAUGACGGUACCUGAAGAAUAAGCACCUGCUAACUCUGUGCCAGCAGCCGCGGUAA
rnacentral:rRNA from 1 species